GCCAGGCGUGGUGGCUCAUGCCUGUAAUCCCAGCACUUUGGGAGGCUGAGAUAGGUGGAUCACCUGAGGUCAGGAGUUUGAGACCAGCCUGACCAACAUGGUGAAACCCUGUCUCUA
ensembl:misc_RNA Metazoa_SRP Metazoan signal recognition particle RNA